GUCGUUGCCAAUUCAACGACCGGGCGUGAGAACCCGAACCAAUCAAGGCGCAAGGCGCCCCCAUACUGUUGCAGGCGCUUUUUUG
rnacentral:sRNA from 1 species